CCUACGGGUGGCAGCAGUAGGGAAUCUUCCACAAUGGACGCAAGCCUGAUGGAGCAACGCCGCGUGAGUGAAGAAGGGUUUCGGCUCGUAAAGCUCUGUUGGUAGGGAAGAAAGUUCGAGGGAGUAACUGUUCUCGAUUUGACGGUAAUUACUUAGAAAGUCACGGCUAACUACGUGCCAGCAGCCGCGGUAAUACGUAGGUGGCAAGCGUUAUCCGGAUUUAUUGGGCGUAAAGCGAGUGCAGGCGGUUGAUUAAGUCUGAUGUGAAAGCCUUCGGCUUAACCGGAGAAUUGCAUCGGAAACUGGUGAACUUGAGUGCAGAAGAGGAGAGUGGAACUCCAUGUGUAGCGGUGGAAUGCGUAGAUAUAUGGAAGAACACCAGUGGCGAAGGCGGCUCUCUGGUCUGCAACUGACGCUGAGGCUCGAAAGCAUGGGUAGCGAACAGGAUUAGAUACCCCAGUAGUC
rnacentral:rRNA from 1 species